GGCUUGUAGAAAAAGAGCUCAGAAGAUACCUGUUUUCAUCCAUUGUGCAUAUGGUCAUGGAAGGAGCGUUGCAGUCAUGUGUGCACUGUUAGUAGCUCUUGGUCUAGCAGAAGACUGGAAAAAUGCUGAGAAAUUGAUCAAAGAAAAACGGCCAUACAUACGAAUGAACGCUCUGCAUCGCAAAGCUUUAGAGGAAUGGUCGAAGGAUCGUCUCUCUUCCCCAAAAGUUGGAGUUAGUUCCGUGAUUCUGUCGAGUGCUAACGAUCGUUCCUGAUCGAUUGACUGCAGUUGCAAGACCAAUUAAUUAUAUAGAUGAUUGGCUGUUUGUCUUCACUUUUGAUUACACACUAUACUUGAUGAUUGAGAUUUUUGCUUCUUUUUAUCAAG
rnacentral:misc_RNA from 1 species